UUUUUAAUUUAAUUUAUUUUUUCAUGAAUCCAAAAUUUAAUUUUUUUUACAUCUUCCUUAACGGUCACGUUAUCCUAAGCUCUUCAGAGCCACAGAAAUUCCCCAAAUCCCAGGAACGAGAUAAGAGCCAGAAACACAUUCGAACGAACAACACCAAAACGUAAAAUUUCCAAUACUUUCUCCGUGGAUUCAAAGAAAGCCUCAAAUCAAAAUUGCCAAGGUACACUGGCCUUGUGGUAGUUCAAUACCAGUUCUGGUAGCUAAGCCAAAUUAUGAACAAACUGUGGACGUCUCUGGCUUCUGCCUUGACACCGUAGAAGCAUUUACUGCAUCAAGAGCUUCAGUUUGAACCGAUCAGUUUCAAGUUCUGAACUGUUCUUAAAACGUGUCUAGAACGUUAAGGCCUCUGUUAGAGGAAAACCCUAGUCUGUAUCUGUGAGCGUUCGGCUAUCUUAAAAGGUAAGGGAAGCUUAUUUAAUUUAAUUUGUAUGUUGUUGUGCUGCAUGAACGUUCGUUUAUUUAAUGAUUGGAAAUCAAAUGUGAUUGUGCUAUGUUCUGAUGUAUGAAAUAUUUGGAAUUUCUAUGAUAUGGAUUGUAUGAAGCAUGAAAAGUGAUUAUGAGACGAAUGUAUAAAGUUAUGAAACUAUAUGUUAAGAAAUGAAUUGGAAUAUAAAUGAUUCUGAUAUGAAAUUUCUAUAUGAAAGAGUACUUCGUCACCAAAUGGUCAUCGACCGUUUGGUAUUUCAUAGUAAAUUUGGUUAGAAUUGGAUUCUUUCAUUUGAGAAGAAUCUUAGUUGAGGACGAUCAUCUUCGUUUCAAAAUACUGUGCAUGAGCGAUCGUCUGAGUAGUGCUUGGUCUUACACCAAGCGAUCGUCUGAAUGGUGCUUGGUCUUACACCAAGCGAUCGUUCUGAGUAGUGCUUGGUCUUACACCAAGCGAUCGUCUCAAUACUUUUAUAAUAUAUCUUGAUGAAAAUAGCAUUCAUCCAACUUCAAUAGAGUUUUCUCUACAGAGCUCGGUCAUUAACUGACAUUCGAAUUUCUUGAUGUAAAUUCAAAUAAGUUAAGGAUUCAUAAGCGUUCGGUUUCUUUAUGUGAAUUCUUCUAAGUAUGAUUCUUUAAAUGUCUUGACGUGUCUACCUUUAUUGAUUUCGGCCUAGAGCCUUAGUACUUGAUAUGGUCUUUUCGGUGUUCGGUUAGAACUUGCAAGAGUCAGCUCAUCUAAUUGGCUCACCUCUUAAGUAACGAUCGUUCGUUCUGGUCGUUCAUGUUUUAUAGGAUUGAACUCAGUUUCUUUCUCAAACCGAUAGUAAUCCUUUUGGUCUUAUUCUAUUCUGGAACGGGAGACUUCUCUAUUUCGUUCCAAGUGUUCGUCCUCGUUCUGAGUGAGGAUUGAACGUAGGGUAUCGGGUGUCCGUAAGAAUCCUUGAACAAAGAUGGAAUUUAACUGAUUGGUAAUGAAAGAUGACUUUGAGAAAAUUGAUAAUGAAAGAUGAAAUUGAGAAUGAUUAGGAAUGAAAUAUGAAGAGAAUGUGAUAUGAAUGAAAUGUAGUGGAUUUGAACGAGCGAUCCGGGAGGAACGACUCAUGGAUGAAUAUUGGAAUUGGUAAAGUAUGACUGUGGGCAUGCUAAUGUUGGCGGUUCAUCCUGAUGUUCCGUGAGUACUCGUCCUCACGUAGAGGAGGGUAGGUCAUGUGUGGGAACGGCAGGAGGUUCUAGUCCUUAGGGGUACUUUGGACAAAUAGGACUAACCUCGGGUGGGUGGCAGCUGAUGAGAGUAUUCCAGUUACUACAUCACCCGGGUGCAUGAACGCCUAUAGCUACACAAAUUUCAUACAGUCCGGACAGUCAGUCUAGUAUUAGGCUUUAUGUGAAAAGUAUGUUGAAAUAUAUCUUGUGUGUUUGAUUGUGUGAAAUGUAUGUUUAUACAUGAAUUAAAUUACAUAAGCUUACCAUGUGUUUCCUGUCUUGUCUUGUUUUGUACGUUCAU